rnacentral:rRNA from 1 species
GCAUGAACCGGUCUCAACUCGUCUAAGAAUGGCUCUUCAUCUGCCAAUCCACCAUCCUCAAGAUUAGAGAUAUUCUUCAUACUGUUCAACAUGUCAACGAUGGGUUUGGCGAGCGCGAAUUGAACUGCCACAAAGCAAGCGGCAACGAAGACGAUCGACACGCAAGCCGCAGCAAUGGUGGCAGCAAGUGUCGUUUGUGUCGAGCCGUAGUAGAACGAGUUGGGAACCUGGGAGAUGACGACUAGGUGGAGUCUACCAUUCGCGAAGAUGUGGGCCACCGCAACGAUCGAAUCAUCGUAGUCGCUGAUGAUGACGUCGUUCGUGGCGUUGCGGAGGUGCUCAAUCGUUCCACCGUAGGAGUUGAAGACGCGUUGCAUCAGAGCGUUGACGGAUGGAUUCGGCGUCGCUGUCGGAAAGAAUACUUCACCCGAGACAACGUCAUACAAUGGAAGAUCACUCUCCGGCAUGCUCGAAGCGAUCAGGGCGCCUUCGUAGACCAGUGUCUUCCUCACG